rnacentral:rRNA from 1 species
AGUCGUGGGGCAGCAGGGGUAGCAAUACCCGCUGGCGACCGGCAAACGGGUGAGGAACAUGUACGCAACCUUCCUUUAACUGGAGAAUAGCCCCUCGAAAGAGGGAUUAAUACUCCGUAACAUUUCGACAAAGCAUUUUGUUGAAAUUAUAGCUCCGGCGGUUAAAGAUGGGCGUGCACCUGAUUAGAUAGUUGGCGGGGUAACGGCCCACCAAGUCUGCGAUCAGUAACUGGUGUGAGAGCACGACCAGUCACACGGGCACUGAGACACGGGUCCGACUCCUACGGGAGGCAGCAGUAAGGAAUAUUGGUCAAUGGACGCAAGUCUGAACCAGCCAUGCCGCGUGGAGGAUUAAGGCCCUCUGGGUUGUAAACUCCUUUUAUCUGGGAAGAAAUGUUUCGAUUCUUCGAAAUUUGACGGUACCAGAGGAAUAAGCACCGGCUAACUCCGUGCCAGCAGCCGCGGUAAUACGGAGGGUGCAAGCGUUAUCCGGAUUCACUGGGUUUAAAGGGUGCGUAGGCGGACAGGUAAGUCAGUGGUGAAAUCUCCGAGCUUAACUCGGAAACUGCCGUUGAUACUAUUUGUCUUGAAUAUUGUGGAGGUAAGCGGAAUAUGUCAUGUAGCGGUGAAAUGCUUAGAUAUGACAUAGAACACCAAUUGCGAAGGCAGCUUACUACACAACGAUUGACGCUGAGGCACGAAAGCGUGGGGAUCAAACAGGAUUAGAUACCCUGGUAGUCCACGCCCUAAACGAUGAUUACUCGACAUACGCGAUACACUGUGUGUGUCUGAGCGAAAGCAUUAAGUAAUCCACCUGGGAAGUACGUUCGCAAGAAUGAAACUCAAAGGAAUUGA